rnacentral:lncRNA from 1 species
UUUUAGAGACGUGGGUGGUUUCAUAUCUGCCUACGCACCCUUCUCAGCAGAGGCCCUCUGGUUAGGAGUGGAGUGUUCGCGGCUAUGGCUCCCCUAAAUGAAAGGGCUUGGUUGCUUUCAGGUGCGGAGGGAGAGUAAAGGACCGGUUCUGAGAGUUCGUCUACCCGGGCACCCGGUGCGCAUGCGGAGCCUGGGCGUCCCAGAGGCCGAGGCCCAGCCCCCAACUUUGGGACUGGUGAAGAGGUCCAUACCCAAGCAGCUCCACUUGGGGCCAGGUCUCUCUGGACCGAACCUGACUGAAUACCGUCCCCUCCCUGGCUGCAUAUCUCAGUUUCCGCCCCCUACAAACUGGACUGCAGCGCGGCUUCAGUAAGCCGCUUGGGGCAGGCCUGGGCGGGGCUUGGUCUGACAGACCCCCGGUAAGGCGGGCGGGCUUUCAGGAAUGCUCUCCUCCCCGCCCCUAGCUCAAAGCGCCACGGUGGCGCUGGUGGCGGCCGGGAGACCGAAUACCUCUGGCUCGGCCAGUCUCGCAGACAUAACCUGUAAUUCCGACCCAGCGCGCUGCCCACUGGGGAGGCGCCCCGCCCACCUCUCUUUGCGGCCGCUAGUCGGCUCGGACCUCUAAUCACCCGGCUCCUCCGUGGGUUGAAGGAUUGAAGCACCUGCCGGAUGUGGGCAGGGAGAAGUAAGCGCUGAGUCUCUGGUCGGCGACUUGGUGGAGAAGUGGGAUGGACAAACCUGCAGUCACCCCUGGGAAGCCGGCCCUGGGCUGCCAGGAGACGACGUUGUUUGGCCCUGCCAUCCAGGAGCGCCCGACUUGGCAUUCUCGUUCCUACCGCCUCCCUAUUAUGCAGCUGCUCUAGAGAAUGAGACUAAAGUCAGAUGGGACAGGACCUAGCUUUUCAGCCAACUCUAGCUUCCCAGCUACCCCCCCCCCCCACUACCAACCUUCACUCCACCCCGUCUCUAGCGUUUCCCAGCUUGGGUGUCCGGUUACUUCUCUGUUCUUACUGUGACUUUGGCCCAGGCUAGGAGGAUGUGGCCCAAGAGGGUCCCGUGCGGCUGCAUAAAAUUGGCAGCUUCAGAACUAGGGGAGAGGGUGGGGUGUGCGACGUUGAAGGGCGGGGAGAGGGGGCGGAGGAGCUGCUUUCUGAGUGCAAGUCCGUGGGCUCUGUCAGAGAUCCUCAAGUCAGAGCAGAGGUGGCUGGCGGGCCCACCGAUUCCUUCCUAUUGCCUGCGUUUUCGGACGGGACUCACAGCUGCUCUGAAGGGCUUAGUCCGGGACACUAGGGUGCCACGCACGCGCUGAUGCCCCGA